rnacentral:rRNA from 1 species
AUUGAACGCUGGCGGCAGGCUUAACACAUGCAAGCCGAACGAGUGGCGGACUGGUGAGCAAUGUCUGGGAAACUGCCUGAUGGAGGGGGAAAACCACUGGAAACGGUAGCUAAUACCGCAUACUAUCAGCUGUGCCCAGAUGGGAUUGGCUUGUUGGUGGGGUAACGGUUCACCAAGGCGACGUUCCCUAGCUGGUCCGAGAGGGUGACCAGCCACACUGGAACUGAGACACGGUCCAGACUCCUACGGGAGGAAGCAGUGGGGAAUCUUGCAAAAUGGGCGAAAGACUGAUGCAGCCAUGCCGCGUGUGUGAAGAAGGCCUUCGGGUUGUAAAGUGCUUUCAGCGGGGAGGCGUUACCCGCAGAAGAAGCACCGGCUAACUCCGUGCCAGCAGCCGCGGUAAUUC